UACGUAGGGGGCAAGCGUUGCUCGGAAUCACUGGGCGUAAAGCGCACGUAGGCGGAUUGCUAAGUCAGGGGUGAAAUCCUGGAGCUCAACUCCAGAACUGCCUUUGAUACUGGGAAGCUUGAGUUCGGGAGAGGUGAGUGGAACUGCGAGUGUAGAGGUGAAAUUCGUAGAUAUUCGCAAGAACACCAGUGGCGAAGGCGGCUCACUGGCCCGAUACUGACGCUGAGGUGCGAAAGCGUGGGGAGCAAACAGG
rnacentral:rRNA from 1 species